rnacentral:rRNA from 1 species
UUCCGGUUGAUCCUGCCGGACCCGACUGCUAUCAGAGUGGGACUAAGCCAUGCGAGUCGACGUAGCAAUGCGUGGCGAACGGCUCAGUAACACGUAGUCAACAUGCCCAGGGGACGUGGAUAACCUCGGGAAACUGAGAAUAAACCACGAUAGGUCACGAUUUCUGGAAUGGAUCAUGGCCUAAAUCUACAUGGCCCCUGGAUUGGACUGCGGCCGAUCAGGCAGUUGGUGAGGUAAUGGCCCACCAAACCUAUAACCGGUACGGGCUCUGAGAGGAGAAGCCCGGAGAUGGGCACUGAGACAAGGGCCCAGGCCCUAUGGGGCGCAGCAGGCGCGAAACCUCUGCAAUAGGCGAAAGCCUGACAGGGCUACUCUGAGUGAUUUCCGCUAAGGGGAUCUUUUGGCACCUCUAAAAAUGGUGCAGAAUAAGGGGUGGGCAAGUCUGGUGUCAGCCGCCGCGGUAAUACCAGCACCCCGAGUGGUCGGGACGAUUAUUGGGCCUAAAGCAUCCGUAGCCGGUUCUGCAAGUCUUCCGUUAAAUCCAGCCGCUCAACGGAUGGGCCGCGGAGGAUACUACAGGACUAGGAGGCGGGAGAGGCAAGCGGUACUCAGUGGGUAGGGGUAAAAUCCUUUGAUCCAUUGAAGACCACCAGUGGCGAAAGCGGCUUGCCAGAACGCGCUCGACGGUGAGGGAUGAAAGCUGGGGGAGCAAACCGGAUUAGAUACCCGGGUAGUCCCAGCUGUAAACGAUGCAGACUCGGUGAUGGGCUAGCCUUGUGCCAGCCCAGUGCCGCAGGAAGCCGUUAAGUCUGCCGCCUGGGGAGUACGGUCGCAAGACUGAACUUAAAGGAUUGGCG